CGACGAAGUUCCAUAAACACCCAAACCUCUGCGAUUGUUAGACCUGCAACCAGCCAGAAGUUUGACAGUAAAAAUAAAUCCACUCACCACUGUAUCCGAAAUCUUCUUCAGAAGAAAUAUCGGGUCGCCAUUGACAGCGAUACUCGAAACGUUUAUCGACGACAUUUGAAUCUCAAUCGACCAGGAAUAAACAGUGCAAUAAACAAAGGAAAAAGUGUCCCGGUGAAAAAAGUCGUAGUCGUGAUUGCUCAGAGCCGAAUUCAACGUCAGUGUCCGUUAAUCCAAGUUACCACGUCGAUCACGAGCUAAUUCCUGAGAUGAGUUUGUCCGCUGACAACUGCAAAAUAGUGUACGUUUCGGUGGGCCUCUUACUGAACGAGCCCAUAUGUUUGUUAGCCAAAAUAGAAGGAGGAGGUGCCUUUAGGAUUUGGAUCAAGCCUGAAAAUAUAGAACAAGUUACGGCGCACUGUGCAGAUCGUGGAAUAAUAUUUACAGAUUCUGCAAUGAUCCGUGGAAAUUCGAGUUUACCGACUGUGCCCCUAGCAAGAGCUUUGAUAUUCUUUCGGAACUUUCUCGCGAAAAUACCGAAGCCAGCUGUGCUCAUUUCGCAUUCGGGAGAUUUGGACACCAAGUGCCUAAUUCGGGCGAUUGCACGAACAGGCACGACAAAUAUUUUCCGUGGGGUUGUUGCGGGCUUUUCCGAUUCCUUGGUAGAGUUUACAGUUAGAUUCCCGAAUCGCAAGGAACCUCGACAAUUAACUAUUCCCGCUCUUGCCCACGAUUUUUUGGGGGAGCAGGAAAAUUUGAUCUCUUCCUCACAUCGGUUGUUUUUCCUUGAGCGGCUUGUUGCCACAUGUAAUAUACCAACGUCUGCUUUCUUCGACCACGUUCUGCCCUAUGAAUUAGCGUUCGAUCUUUAUGAAGAAAUGAAUGAGUGGGUGCUACCUCAAUAUUCAUAUAUAUAAAUAUAAAGCUGGAAAAAUUACAUUUUCCUGGCAUGUUAGAGCGAAGGAGUGCUCGCUGUGGCAUUGCUCGUGUCGGGGAGACCGAGGCAAAACGGGGUAUUUUAAAAAUUGGGGAAAUCAUUUUUUCCCAUUCUUUCUAUUCGGUAUGUUUGUGUAGAAAAGGCUAUAAAAUAUGAAUAUUUUCAGAAUAAAGAAAAAAAAUCGAAAUAGAAGAGAAAGAAGGAAUUUCGGAUAAAUAAAAGUCGGAAAACAGAUAAAUUUCGAAGCGCAAUUCUAAUUUUUUUUUCACUGCUUUUUGAAAGGAACAGUCACAGUGCGUUAGAUUAAAAUUCCAGAGGAAAAAAAUUCAUCAAUUUUUAGGAUACUUCGUUGUGUGCCGAGCAUAAUUUUAUUUUUUUUUUCGAAAAUUUAAAAGAGAGGAUAAACCAAUAAAAACCUUGAUUGAUACGAGAAGCUUUUCUUACUUGAAACCUACGACCACACAGUGAUUCAUCAUCCUUCACAGUCCCCACCAUGUCGAGGAGUUUGUACGUGCUCAUGACGAUUUUUAUUGUAACAACGCAAACGAAUAUUUUUUUCUGGGAAUAUUGGCUUACCGACGGAAUAUCUCAUAAAAAAUGUGAAUGUUUUUGGCUCGAAUUGGAGCCAGAUCAUUGAGUUUCGAUUCAAAUUCGGCUCUUUAAUCAUUGUGGAUUGGCCUCGGAAUUAUUGAAAAAUCGUCUUCUUUAGUGUUUAGUUUUUCAGUCUUCAAAAACUGGAUUCUGUUGAUUCGAACCGAUCGAUUUCUGUGGUUUCGAGUUUGUCGCAACUUGGUUAAGGAGUUUCACAUGGAUUAGCAUGGCAACAUUGUAUCGCCUGUACCGAAACUCCUUAACGUUGAUUGGGAGUGCAGCCUGCGGCUCAUGGAACAGAUGACAUACAAAAGCGUGAUAAUUGUGAGCAAAAAUAAAUCGCACGUGUUGUUGAAUUGAUCAUUUGAAAAUCGUAUAAAAGCAGCAGAUACCAUCGAAGGUCGAAUCGCCGAAAAGAAUUCUUUCCAGUUGGGUAAACGUCGGUUUUUUUCACCAGAACAAUGAAUCACAAAAAAAAACUCGGAUUGGACGAUCGUCAAUCGGAUCGUUGCUCGAACAGCCAAUAAUAUGACGGUACUCUCUCCCAGCAAUGUUCAUGAAAGCAAACCGCUGAACGGUUCAGCAAAAACCCACAACUAGCCAAAAGUAUAAGUCAACCCACUGUUCACUGAAUCCGAAACCUUUUUCAGAAGAAGUAUCGGAUCGCUACUGACAGCGACACUCGAAACGUUAAUCGACGAAAACUGAAUCUCACCCAAUCAGGAAUAAACAGUGCAAUAAAUAAAAGAAAAAGUGCCCCGUAAAGGAAGUUUUAGUCGUGAUUGUUUCGAGCCGAAUUCGACGACUGUGUCCGUUAAUUAAUCCAAGUUACAACUUCGAUCACGAGCUGAUUCCUGAGAUGAGUUUGUCCGCCGAUAACUGCAAAAUAGUGUACUAUUCCAUGUUCAUUCUGGAAAAUGAGAUUGAGAGCUUAGCAGCUAAAGUGGAAGAAGGAGAGGAGUUUAUGGUUUAUGUUCAGCCGUCAUCAAAUCCAGAACUAUUCUCGGCGUACUACGCAAGUCAAGGAGAGAUAUUUACAGGUUCCGAAAUUAUUCGUGGAGAUAUGAUAAUGCCAACUGAACCGCUAGAAAGGGCUCUGACCAUGUUUCGGGACUUCCUCGCGGCAUUACCGAAACCAGUUUUACUCAUUUCUCAUUCAGGAGAUGCGCUGACCAAAGAAUUAAUUCGGGCGAUUGCCCGAACUGGCACGACAAAUAUUUUCCGCGGGGUUGUUGCAGGCUUCUCCGAUUCUCUGGUAGAAUUUAGAGUUAGAUUCCCGAAUCGUAAGAACAUUCGAGAAUUCACUAUCUACGCUCUGGCCUACGAUUUUCUGGAGGAACCGAGAGAUGAUCACCCUCUUCCAUAUCGAUUGAUUUUAUUAGAGCGGCUUCUCAUGAGAUGUGAUAUUCCAAGGUCUGCUUUUUUCGAUCACCUUUUGCCCUAUGAAAUAGCGUUUGAUCUGUUUGAAGAAUUGGAUGAGUUUAUGUUACCGGCGAAUUGAGAUAUAAAGUUCGAAAGAUUCCAUUUUCUAGUACGUAAGACUCCGUAAAACGAGCUAUUUCAAAAAUUGCUAAAAUAAUUUUUUUCCAUUUUUGCUAUUAGGUAAUUACAAAAAAAAAAAAAAAAAAAAAAAAAAUUAAAAAGGAAGAGAAAAAGGAAUGUUUAAUGAGUGAAAGUUGAAAAAAAGGAUAAAUUUCGAAGCAAUUCACUUUUUUCUUGUCUGCUCUGUAAAAGAAGCAGUCAAGGUGCAUCGGAUUAAAGAUUUAGGGGAAAAAAAUUCCACCUGUUUUUGAGGGGUACCCCGUUGUGUGCUAUGAAAAAUUGUUGAUUUUUUUCGAAAAUUUCAAAAAAUUACAGACCAAUAAAAACUGAUUAAUACGAA